ensembl:lncRNA LINC01811 long intergenic non-protein coding RNA 1811
AGAGAUGUUGAGAGAUCAACCAGGAGACUGUGGGAGGAUGUGAGCUCUCUGAGAGUGGUCAUGCAUACCUCAAUGGGACAAAGUAUCUCCUCUGAGACUUCAGAAAAUCCUUUUCUUCUGGAGCCACUCUGUUCUGGAUUACCCUGAGAUUUUAAUGAGAUAAAGUCUAGAGAUGUAUAUAACUUUUCUGCAUCAUUUUGGAAUUUUAAUGAGAUGAAACGAGACCCAGAGACACCUGUUCUAGACCACUUUGGGAUCUUAAUGAGGAUGCAAACAGGUUGAAGACAAGAGCUCUCUUUAAUGGAACCUGAACAGUGCCUAACUCCUGUAGAUAUUCACUGAAUGUUAAAUAACAACAGUGAUCAUGUAAUAAUGAUGCCCAAUUCACUUGGGAGAGAAUACCAAAUAGCUUGGAAUUUUCCUGUUACUGCCAGCAUGGCCUGAGAGCAUCCUGAGAUCAUCAGGAUACUUGCCAACAAGGUCACAGUGGACUCCAUGGAGCAACUGCCCUCAGGAGGCAACAGGUUCUUUUUGAGGGGAGUCUCUCUGAUGCUUGGAAUGAAUCCUGCUGAAUCAAUGCUGAUGCUUGGAGAUCUUCAAGUCUUUUCCCUUUUUCCCAUUGCUCAUGAUGUCUAUAUAACCUCCAAACAUGCAUCCCACUCCUCUGCCGAAAGACCAUUUUUUUAUAUCUUCAGUGAUGGUCUAGGCCAGGUUAAUUGACUUUUCUUUUUUCUUAAGCCAACUAAAGUCCUCACCACAAA